AGUGGCGGACGGGCGAGUAACACGUAGGUAACCUGCCCCAAAGCGGGGGAUAACAUUUGGAAACAGAUGCUAAUACCGCAUAACAAUUUGAAUCGCAUGAUUCAAAUUAAAAAGAUGGCUUCGGCUAUCACUUUGGGAUGGACCUGCGGCGCAUUAGCUUGUUGGGAGGGUAACGGCCUACCAAGGCUGUGAUGCGUAACCUAGUUGAGAGACUGAUCGGCCACAAUGGAACUGAGACACGGUCCAUACUCCUACGGGAGGCAGCAGUAAGGAAUCUUCCACAAUGGGCGCAAGCCUGAUGGAGCAACCCCGCGUGAGUGAAGAAGGGCUUCCGCUCGUAAAGCUCUGUUGUUAGAGAAGAACGUGCGUGAGAGCAAUUGUUCACUCACUGACGGUAUCUAACCAGAAAGUCACGGCUAACUACCUGCCACCACCCGCGGUAAUACGUAGGUGGCAAGCGUUAUCCGGAUUUAUUGGGCGUAAAGCGAGCGCAGGCGGUUUGAUAAAUCUGAUGUGAAAGCCUUUGGCUUAACCAAAGAAUUGCAUCGUAUACUGUCAGACUUGAGUGCAGAAGAGGACAGUGGAACUCCAUGUGUAGCGGUGGAAUGCGUAGAUAUAUGGAAGAACACCAGUGGCGAGGGCUGCUGUCUGGUCUGCAACUGACGCUGAGGCUCGAAAGCAUGGGUAGCGAACAGGAUUACAUACCCUGGUAUUCCAUGCAGUAUACGAUGAGUGCUAUGUGU
rnacentral:rRNA from 1 species